GUUUAUCAGGAUUUGUAGUGCGUGUAAGUAGGUAACAUUCAAAUAAUUACUUGCAUGUCUACCGGUUGUGUUUAUAAAUUUUUGUAAUAGGGCCGGCUCUUUGGCUGCCCACUUUCCAGAGCAGUGUUUAGGUUAAGAUAGACACCGUUGAAUUUUAACAUUCUAACUAUAUACCUAGGACUUGAGUUUACUUAUAGGCGUUUGUGUUUGUGGGCUAGCAACUACGCUAAUGGUUUAUUGUUAACUAGUAAAGUACCCCCUGUUUGGGGACUUGUAUAGGCAACACAUCAUACACAUUCUUAUCAAGGUCUGGGUAAUGGAUAAUGUAAUUAUUACUGAUUAGUGGCUAGACAUUUGAUUUACAGAAGUUUUGUAACUUCACACAAAUACACAAUGUAUUAUAUCAUGGUUUUCAAAACUGACAUAUAAUAAUAUUAUGAUGUAAGUACCUACGAGGAACUAGGAAGUCCAGCAAAUGUAUUGACAAUUUUUGAUAAGUCUAUUUUAUUUAAGUCAAUUCUACAGAA